rnacentral:rRNA from 1 species
AAUGAACACUGGCGGCAUGCCUAACACAUGCAAGUCGAACGAAGGCUUCGGCCUUAGUGGCGCACGGGUGCGUAACGCGUGGGAAUCUGCCCUUGGGUUCGGAAUAACAGCUAGAAAUGGCUGCUAAUACCGGAUGAUGACGUAAGUCCAAAGAUUUAUCGCCCAGGGAUGAGCCCGCGUAGGAUUAGCUAGUUGGUGAG